GGUACACGUAUAGGUAAGGGCUCUUCUAUACCGGCAUAAUCGAAAUUGUUGGCGAUGCACCACGCUAUCUCGCUUGUCCAUGUGCUGCCUUCGGAAAAAGUCGAACGAGCGCAUCCUUAUCAGUGAUGAGUUGCGGAUAUCCGAUACGUUCGUUCAUGGCGUCGGCUUUUUCCUUGGCGACAGCUCGGGUUUCAUCAUCCAUCCAAUCGUUGUCCGCUAAUAAAUCAUUGAAUGCCUCACGAAUUGUAUGAAUCAUCGUCAGAGCAGUUUCCUAUACACACAAAAUAAAAAGAAAAAACAUUUUCACAUCUCCGACAUUUUAAACCGCCCCGACCGCCAUUCCUAGCUUUUUAUUCGUCCAUUCAACGCACUGCGACCAUCGAUGCCGUUCACUGAGGAUCCCGAGAAGAAUUUUCCGGAAUUCAAUACGUUCGCGUUGAUAGUCAUCAAUCAUAUGCGGAACCAGUGCCAUUAUUAACCUCCAAAGCACGUAAUUGUGGAUAAUCCUUCAGAAUUAAAAUAAUUUAAGGAUUCGAACGUAAAACGGCAUGCGAACGUGUGUUGUGGGCUACUUCUUACUUUGUGCGCACCUGGAUGAUGUUAAUUGAGCUGUUUUUGUCGUCCGGGCCCACCCACUGCUCGAUGAGGAUGCCCUCAUUGUGUAUCCCGCGUAUCCGACCCAGGAGUUCUUCGAUACUGAACGUGGGCGCUUGCCAAUCUGGUUCUGCCACUGGCCAUCCACCCAAACUUUUCAACACCGCACGGAGAGGUUCAUCACCGAUUUUAUGUAUCUGAUCUUUUUAGCUUUAACAGCUGCUUCAUGAUCGUCGCUUGCGAUUGGUUCUUCCAAAACACCUGGAGGGGGAUUAAUAGAUGUGUUUACAAGCAGCAGAAGAGCAACACCAGCAGAAAAGAGUAGAACAACGAGGGCGGCGAGCAGACACCUCUCCUUGGCACGUUCAGCGCGUCCAGGCAGGACCAUCGUCCGAGUACCGGCUGAAGAUACCUGCACCACUGUGUUCACCGUGGGCGCGCCGGCAAGCAGCGGCCCACCGGCCGCCUCCUGCAGAUAGCCGUUGUUCGCCGCCGCCACCGCCGCCGCGUCCUUCCACCCGUCGCAGACGGUCGCGACGCGAUCGUUGAGCGGUAUCGGGAUGGGGAUGUCGCGCGUCGGCGACGACCGCCGAUUGUUUUUCAUUGCUGUUCUUCACUCGACGGCGGGCGGAGGCGGCUCAGGACAUAACCUCCGCGCAUCGCCAGACGGCAUGUGGGCCGAAUCAGUGUGCGAAUAUUUCGUCUGCAGAGCGAGUGUGCGAGGUGCGCGCUGCGGCGGCGGACGCGGUGCGACUGCGGGCCGGCGGCGUAAACACGCGGAUCGAUGCGCGGCGGCAGGAUGCGAGUGCGGUGGGCGGUGUGGCGGCUGCUUCGAGCUACGUCGAGUGCUGCCGUUGCGCGACUGAGCGUCUACCGCCGCACUGAGCGGCUUUUAUUCGCGGGCGCGAUGAGAGCGAAAGCGCGGACGCGACAAAGACGUUUCGGGGCUGUCCAACGGGGAGAUUAUCUCAAAGGAAACAAAUAUUUAAUUUGGUUUUACUUGGGAUUAUAUUUUAGAAGAUUUUUUUCGGAUCCAACAGGAAGAACAUCUCCAACAAUGCAAAUAUUUAAGUAUUUACUCUGGAUUUCUACAUUUAGCCAUCUGCUUUUGUUGAUGGUGAGCAUCCGCAGCAACACAAUUCUGCGCCUUGGCGUCCGUGACGCUGAUAGCGUGUGAUAAAAUCAGUUCAUCAUUUGUGCACAAAACUCCCACUUUGUUGUUCUUUCGCCGUUGUCCUCGGCGCAGUCGCUGAAUUGAAAUUCACAAAGGAGGCAUGCGAGCGUAAGUUUCUGGUUGAAUUUGCGCGCAGCGAGGCGCGCCGUAAUCCUGUGAAAAGUUUUAUCGGCGAAUCGCAGCCGUGCCGAAUAUGGAAUAUCAAUUCGAAAGCCAUUCCGGCGCGCGCGCUGCGAAAAUCUUUCCACGAUUGCGAUGCGAUGGGCCGGACGUGAUCGUGUCGCAUCCAAGCGCAAGAGCGCAAAAAAAUGCAAACACGCGCGCGGAGAGGAGGCUCUUCAAAAUUGGAAUUCGCAGCGAGGCGGACGCAUUCGCCAAUUGAAAUUUGAGUUCGAUCGAUUGAGCAUACACUCAUGCACAUAUAUUUGUGUUUGUGGAUAAACAAUUCCGGUAGUAAAUCAGUCAAAAUCUUGUUUUCUUUAAGGAUUUGCAAGUAAAAAGUCUAAACUUUAAUAUUUUUUGUUUGUAUUCUUCCGAAAUACUUUAAAACACUUCCCAAAAGUUGAAUUUGUUCUUUAAUUACCUCAAAUUAGUAUGGAUACACAUUUUAUUAUGAAUUAAAUGUAAAAAUACUUUACUUUUUGCUUAGAACAAGAAAUUAAAUUAUUUUGGUGGAGGCGCCUAGCAUUUUGUAUACAACUGCUGAUGACACUAAUAUGCAGGGAAGAAAAUGUGAUUUAGAAUACUUUAUUUUAAUAAAAUUUUGUUCUAA